UCGAAAGGGUGAGUAACACGUGAGUAACCUGCCCUUGACUUCGGGAUAACUCCAGGAAACCGGGGCUAAGACCGGAUAUGAGCCGUCCUCGCACGGGGGUGGUUGGAAAGUUUUUCGGUCAGGGAUGGGCUCGCGGCCUAUCAGCUUGUUGGUGGGGUGAUGGCCUACCAAGGCGACGACGGGUAGCCGGCGGGAGAGGGCGACCGGCCACACUGGGACUGAGACACGGCCCAGACUCCUACGGGAGGCAGCAGUGGGGAAUAUUGCACAAUGGGCGAAAGCCUGAUGCAACGACGCCGCGUGAGGGAUGAAGGCCUUCGGGUUGUAAACCUCUUUCAGCAGGGAAGAAGCGCAAGUGACGGUACCUGCAGAAGAAGCGCCGGCUAACUACGUGCCAGCAGCCGCGGUAAUACGUAGGGGGGGGGCGUUGUCCGGAAUUAUUGGGCGUAAAGAGCUCGUAGGCGGUUUGUCGCGUCUGGUGUGAAAACUCGAGGCUCAACCUCGAGCUUGCAUCGGGUACGGGCAGACUAGAGUGCGGUAGGGGAGACUGGAAUUCCUGGGUGUAGCGGUGGAAUGCGCAGAUGUCAGGAGGAACAGCGAUGGCGAAAGGCAGGUCUCUGGCCCGCAACUGACGCU
rnacentral:rRNA from 1 species